GAUGAACGCUAGCGACAGGCCUAACACAUGCAAGUCGAGGGGCAGCAUGGUAUCAGCUUGCUGAUACCGAUGGCGACCGGCGCACGGGUGAGUAACGCGUAUGUAAUCUGCCUGUAACAGAGGGAUAACCCGGAGAAAUCCGGCCUAAUACCUCAUAGCACAUAUUAUUCGCAUGAGUUUUAUGUUAAAGAGACUCGGUUACAGAUGAACAUGCGUUCCAUUAGCUGGUUGGCGGGGUAACGGCCCACCAAGGCAACGAUGGAUAGGGGUUCUGAGAGGAAGGUCCCCCACACUGGUACUGAGACACGGACCAGACUCCUACGGGAGGCAGCAGUGAGGAAUAUUGGUCAAUGGGCGAGAGCCUGAACCAGCCAAGUCGCGUGGAGGAAGACGGCCCUACGGGUUGUAAACUCCUUUUACCUGGGAAUAACGGGGCGCUACGCGUAGCGCUGUGCAUGUACCGGGAGAA
rnacentral:rRNA from 1 species